CGUUGUUAGCAAAUCAUAAACGUACAGGCUAAUACAGCUUGAGUUUUAAUAAGCAUUGAGAUGCGUCUGUCAUUUCUAUCAUUGGCUUUUGCCAUAAUCUUUAUUGUGACAAUUAUGCACGCACCUGAAGCGAAAGCAGAGGCCAUCUCCGAACCUGAUGCCCAAUCUUUGCCCACUGAAAUUAGGUUUGGAAAAAAAUAGAUUCUUGAAUUUUCCAAACCUUGAAUUUGUAUGUUUAAGGAAUUUACGAAACGCGUACUCGACAUGGCAAAUGAAAUAGCUGCAUUUUUCGUGGAAUGAAAUUUCGGUGAAAUAGGGAAAAAUCUUGCAAUUAAGUUGUCACAUUACAAAAAAUGCAUAAAUGUUAUUA